UCAUUAGGGAUUUAAUUGGGACCUGGAAUGAAGGGUUGGACAAAGGAAAAACUGUCUUUAUAAUAAUAGUUGAAAUUUACUUUUAAGUGAAAAGGCUUAAAUAAAUCAAAGGGACGAUAAGACCCUAUAAAGCUUUAUAAAUAGACUAAAUUUAAUUGAUUUUAAUUUAUAAAAGUCAAAUUUAGUUAUUUUAUUUUAUUGGGGUGAUAUGGGUAUAAUUAUUACUAACUGCUUAAAAAUAGAUUCUAUUAUAAGAGAAUAUAAAUAAAUGAUCCUUCUUAGAGAUUAAAAAACUAAGUUACUUUAGGGAUAACAGCGUUAUUUCUUUUGAGAGUUCAUAUCGAAAAAGAAGAUUGCGACCUCGAUGUUGAAUUAAAAUAUCUAUAUAAUGCAGCCGUUAUAAAAGAGGGUCUGUUCGACCUUUAAAAUUUU
rnacentral:rRNA from 1 species